UAGAAGUAAAUAAAUACAAUAUAAAAAUUGCAGAAACAGAAAAUGCCUUAAACAGAAAAUCUUUUUUCUUUAUUAGAUAACAUAUUUAUCAGCAUAUGACACGCACAUUUAACUCCUGAAAAGCUUUCUGUUAAAGACGGAAGAAAGAGUGAAGAUAAUGUUGAAGAUAAAGUUCUUAAAGGGUCCCAGUAGGUUGCAGUUUGCGCAGUCCUCCUUGAUAUAUCAAUCCCCCUUCAAAUCACAGUGUCCCUUUCACAGUCACGUUCUAAAGAUCAUGCACUUACCCUGAGGAGGAGCAAUGGUCCUGCCAGAAGCCGAUGCUGGAGGGUCUUGAAUGCAGCUUUCUGUUAAAGACGGAAGAAAGAGUGAAGAGUCAAGCUCUAUGAUUUUGACCCCUGCUGCUGAAUCCAGGGACAUCCUCUGCCAGAAGGACAUCUCUUAGCUCCGCCUCCCACUCUCGCAACUUGAUAGGCUUUCCUCGGUUUUGUCCUAGUCGAAGCCUCUGCAUCUUCUUUGUAACCGUUGCCCGACAAUCAUAGAACCUGCAAAUGUACAUAAACAUUACAAUUACAUUAAUAAAAAAACAAAUACUUAGAU